rnacentral:rRNA from 1 species
UACGGGGGGAGCAAGCGUUGUUCGGAUUUACUGGGCGUAAAGGGCGCGUAGGCGGUCGUGACAAGUCACUUGUGAAAUCUCCGGGCUUAACUCGGAACGGUCAAGUGAUACUGUCGGACUAGAGUACAGAAGGGGCAACUGGAAUUCUCGGUGUAGCGGUGAAAAUGCGUAGAUAUCGAGAGGAACACCUGCGGCGAAGGCGGGUUGCUGGGCUGAUACUGACGUGAGGCGCGAAAGCCAGGGGAGCGAACGGG